UACGGAGGGGGCUAGCGUUGUUCGGAAUUACUGGGCGUAAAGCGCGCGUAGGCGGCUUUGUAAGUUAGCGGUGAAAGCCCGAAGCUCAACUUCGGAAUUGCCUUUAAGACUGCAUCGCUAGAAUCGUGGAGAGGUGAGUGGAAUUCCGAGUGUAGAGGUGAAAUUCGUAGAUAUUCGGAAGAACACCAGUGGCGAAGGCGACUCACUGGACACGUAUUGACGCUGAGGUGCGAAAGCGUGGGGAGCAAACAGG
rnacentral:rRNA from 1 species